AUGUUCACUGUUAUAUUAAUGUGUCUGUGGCUUUCACUUGGUGACUCCAUGGCAGAUUCAAUAGAGCCACUUUUCACUCGUAAAGUUGUACAUGAAGGUGAUGAUGUCACUCUGUCCUGCAGCUACAGAAAAUUCACUGAUCCAGUAACCAACCUGCACUGGUACAUACAGCAUCCAAAAUCUACACCUGAGUUCCUUCUUUAUAUUUUUCCAAGUGGAACUCUAAGUCCCAACCGUCCCCCAAGAAUGUCUGCUAAAGUUAAUGAAAAGAAGAAACAAGUGGAUCUGCUCAUCUCCUCUGCUGCUGUAUCAGACUCUGCACUAUACUACUGUGCUCUGCAGCCCACAGUGACAGGAAAUCCAACUGCACUGUACAAAAACUUUCACACAGUUUUGUUUAUACUGUCGGCAGUUCUGCUGAUGAUUUUGAGAAGUUUUUGA